UGCUUGCUUCAGCAGCACAUAGACUAAAGUGGAAGGAUACAGAAAAGAUGAGCAUGGCCCUAGACCAGGAUGACAGGCAAAUGUAUGAAGCAUUCUAUUUUUUU